rnacentral:rRNA from 1 species
GACGAACGCUGGCGGCGCGCCUAACACAUGCAAGUCGAACGAGAGAUGAGGAGCUUGCUCUUCAAAUCGAGUGGCGAACGGGUGAGUAACGCGUGAGGAACCUGCCUCAAAGAGGGGGACAACAGUUGGAAACGACUGCUAAUACCGCAUAAGCCCACGGCUCGGCAUCGAGCAGAGGGAAAAGGAGCAAUCCGCUUUGAGAUGGCCUCGCGUCCGAUUAGCUGGUUGGUGAGGUAACGGCCCACCAAGGCGACGAUCGGUAGCCGGACUGAGAGGUUGAACGGCCACAUUGGGACUGAGACACGGCCCAGACUCCUACGGGAGGCAGCAGUGGGGAAUAUUGCACAAUGGGGGAAACCCUGAUGCAGCGACGCCGCGUGGAGGAAGAAGGUCUUCGGAUUGUAAACUCCUGUUGUUGAGGAAGAUAAUGACGGUACUC